ncrna:Pseudomonas entomophila L48 C4 antisense RNA
CGUUAUGGCAGCUGUGCGUGGGGCACCUCGUGUGCGCCGGUUUCUGGUCUUGUUCACCGGUCUGUCAACCCAUGUACAGCUGCCACCUUC